rnacentral:lncRNA from 1 species
GUGACUGUAGGUUUAGAUGAAUGGAAAAUGAACUUGCCAGUUCACAGCUAUGUCCUUCCCAAUUUAGGAGGUUAAGGGCAGGAAAAACAUGAGAAACUCUUUUGAGAAGCUGCACAAGCUGACAUGGAGGAUCAAGGAUUUCAAAAGCUUUGAAUAUAAAGAGGUGUCAGACUUACAUCAGAGCCUGAGACUUGACAUGCCUAUUUUUGCACUCGCUCAUUUUUCAAAUUUCAUAGGCAUUGCUCCCUCCAAAUCACCGCUCUUCUAAUUUUAUCCUGGAGUGUGCAUCCCAGAAGACAUAAGCUGACACAAUUGGGAACUGAAGUUGCUUGAAAAAGCUGGUGGUAAGAUUAGGGAUCAGCAUCAUAUAUCACUAUUUCUCAAAGAUUAUCUGGUCUCUUGAUGGCAAAUCUACAAUAUUGAAACCUUUGAAAGAGAAAUUGUGUUUUGUGAGUUACAUGACUACCGUUUGCAUCCAAGGUCUCCUCUGUAGUCAAGAGAAGAAUGCAGAAACUACAUGUCCAAGAAUCUCUUUCCAGACUCUAGACAGCUUAUACGUAUUUGGACAAGGCAACGUGAUGAAGAAAUAAUAUAAUUGUAGGAUCACCUCUGUCCAGUAGCUGUUAUCCAACAUCUGCAUACUUAGAUUUCUGGAGAGGUAGGUAAACUACUGUAUUAGAAAACACUAGAAGUGCAUGAUUGUAUUUUUCAUGUCCAAAGUCUAACACAUUAAAAGAGAAAAGGAUUCGAAAAUUAUCUACUUUGAAAGUUUUAAACAAAAGUGAAUUUUCUUGGUUAAAUAUCCUAUUUAAUUGCCUUUCUAAAAAUAGCCUAAAUGUCCAUUGUUUGAUAUAUGUGGUGAGAUAUUUUUUAAAGUACUUAAUUAUAAUGUUUUAUUUGAUGAGACUAGCUAUUUGGUAUUUUUUUAAAUGGAAAGGGGGCAAACAUACUUAAUAAAAUGCAAAAAUAGUACUGGAAAAAUAUUUUAAAUGAUUGCUAAGUAUUUUAGUGAAUACCUAAUUGCAUUAAUUUGCUGAGACUGCCAUAACAAAAUAAGACACAUUAAAUGGCUUGAACAACAUAAA